rnacentral:rRNA from 1 species
UACGUAGGGUGCGAGCGUUAAUCGGAAUUACUGGGCGUAAAGUGUGUGCAGGUGGCCGCGCAUGUCGAGUGUGAAAUCCCCGGGCUUAACUUGGGAAUUGCGCUCGAAACUACGUGGCUCGAGUGUGGCAGAGGAAGGUGGAAUUCCACGUGUAGCGGUGAAAUGCGUAGAGAUGUGGAGGAACACCGAUGGCGAAGGCAGCCUUCUGGGCCAACACUGACGCUCAUGCACGAAAGCGUGGGGAGCAAACAGG